UACGGGGGGGGCAAGCGUUGUUCGGAAUUACUGGGCGUAAAGGGUGCGUAGGCGGCUCAGAAAGUAGGGUGUGAAAGCCCUCGGCUCAACCGAGGAAUUGCGCCCUAAACUACUGGGCUUGAGGAACGCAGAGGUAAGCGGAACUUACGGUGGAGCGGUGAAAUGCGUUGAUAUCGUAAGGAACACCAGGAGCGAAAGCGGCUUACUGGGCGUUUUCUGACGCUGAGGCACGAAAGCCAGGGGAGCGAACGGG
rnacentral:rRNA from 1 species